CCGCUUCGUGUCUUUGUUCUGAUGAAGGAUAUUCGACCUGAAAUAUUAGCUCUGUCUCUCUUCCCACAGAUGCAGCCUGACCUAUGUUGCCUGACCUGCUGACUAUUUCUAGCAUUUUCAGAUUUUAAGAAAUGUCUCACAGGAGGAAACAACUCUUUGAGGUGCAGUUAUAUUUCAGAAAAACAUUAC